CCUGUAGUCCCUCCGUCCAAAAAAACUUGUCCCUCAAAUGGAUGUAUCUAGCACUAACUUGGUGCUACAUACAUUCAUUUGAGGGACAAGUUUUGGACAAGUUUUUUCGGACAGAGGGAGUAUAUG
rnacentral:pre_miRNA from 1 species